rnacentral:rRNA from 1 species
UAGGGAAUCUUCGGCAAUGGACGAAAGUCUGACCGAGCAACGCCGCGUGAGUGAAGAAGGUUUUCGGAUCGUAAAACUCUGUUGGUAGAGAAGAACGUUGGUGAGAGUGGAAAGCUCAUCAAGUGACGGUAACUACCCAGAAAGGGACGGCUAACUACGUGCCGA